GAAAUGCGAUAAGUAAUGUGAAUUGCAGAAUUCAGUGAAUCAUCGAAUCUUUGAACGCACAUUGCGCCCGUCAGCAUUCUGGCGGGCAUGCCUGUUCGAGCGUCAUUUCAACCCUCAGGACCCCCCUUUCGCGGGGAGGGACCUGGCGUUGGGGAUCGGCCCGCCCCCCGUGGCGGCGCCGUCCCCGAAAUCUAGUGGCGGUCUCGCUGCAGCCUCCCCUGCGUAGUAGUUACAACCUCGCAUCGGAGCGCGGCGCGGCCACGCCGUAAAACCCCAGACUUUCUGAACGUUGACCUCGGAUCAGGUAGGAAUACCCGCUGAACUUAAGC
rnacentral:misc_RNA from 1 species